UAAGCGGAGGAAAAGAAACUAACAAGGAUUCCCCUAGUAACUGCGAGUGAAGCGGGAAAAGCUCAAAUUUAAAAUCUGGUGGUCUUUGGCCAUCCGAGUUGUAAUUUAGAGAAGCGUCUUCCGCGCUGGGCCGUGCACAAGUCUCCUGGAAUGGAGCGUCACAGAGGGUGAGAAUCCCGUCUUUGGCAUGGACACACCAGGGCUUUUGUGAUGCGCUCUCGAAGAGUCGAGUUGUUUGGGAAUGCAGCUCAAAAUGGGUGGUGAACUCCAUCUAAAGCUAAAUAUUGGCGAGAGACCGAUAGCGAACAAGUACCGUGAGGGAAAGAUGGAAAGCACUUUGGAAAGAGAGUGAAACAGUACGUGAAAUUGUUGAAAGGGAAACGCUUGAAGUCAGUCGCGUCGACCGAGACUCAGCCUUGCCUUGGCCUGGUGUACUUCUCGGCCGACGGGUCAGCAUCAAUUUUGCCCCUUGGAUAAUGAUGAGGGAAACGUGACACCUUUAUGGUGUGUUAUAGUCUCUUGUCGCAUGCAAGGGUCGGGAUUGAGGAACUCAGCACGCACCUUUGGGUGUCGGGGCUUUGCCCACGAUACGUGCUUAGGAUGUUGGCGUAAUGGCUUUAAACGACC
rnacentral:rRNA from 1 species